UACGAAGGGGGGCUAGCGUUGUUCGGAAUCACUGGGCGUAAAGCGCACGUAGGCGGGUCUUUAAGUCAGGGGUGAAAUCCUGGAGCUCAACUCCAGAACUGCCUUUGAUACUGAGGAUCUUGAGUUCGGGGAGAGGUGAGUGGAACUGCGAGUGUAGAGGUGAAAUUCGUAGAUAUUCGCGAAGAACACCAGGUGGCGAAGGCGGCUCACUGGCCCGAUACUGACGCUGAGGUGCGAAAGCGUGGGGAGCAAACAGG
rnacentral:rRNA from 1 species